CUUGACCAGUGGUGUCAAAAUACCUGCAGUGAUUAGCAUGACAACAAUAGCCUGCCAGUGCGAUGUGACCAGAGCAGCUCGAACAUAACAUUCUUUAUCCAACAGAAGCAAUUACUAAGACCUCUCUGACUGCUGCCCAUUUGUAAUGUGUGAAGUGGAUUUUUCAGCAGUGCUGGUGAAGGAUUUCUUUUAGGGUCUGAUGCUUUUCUCCAGAAGUGGAGGGAAUGAGUAAUAAGAAUGUCUGAAACUGUGGCAGGCUGUCUGCAGCACAGUGUGUGCAAGCAUCAAUCACACACUAGGGCUUCUACACAAGCAAAUACACACAUACACAAAGAAAUCCCAUACGCUUAGUUAGGCAUCUGUCACCCCACAUUCAAAUAAUGACAAGAAAACAUGUAAUUGUGCCACCAAAACCCACAGCCCACUUCCCUACUUUAAUGUAAAUAUUAAUCUCAUUAGGUUAACAUUCCAAAAUGUUAAUCAUCUGUUAGUUGUCUAUACUUUUCAUUGCUGCAGGUUAGCAGUCAGUAUUUUUACUCAUUAAAGUACCUAAUAAAAAAUUUAAAGAUGUAUGGAAGAAAUGAAAUUACUUGGAUUACCUGACAAUAGAUAAGAUUAUAAACUAGCUCUUUAUAACAUCUUACUGACUUACAGAGGAAGACGAUAAUCAACACAUGACCUUGCUUACAUAUCUAGAUAUUUACUUAACCUAAUUACCUUGCUAAUGAAACCCUUUUCAGUUAGCCACACAACAACAUACAUAAACACUGGUAAAUAAGCUUAAUAUUGGUUAGGUAGGUCAGUGAAGCAACUUUUCUUAAUUAAUAAAAUACAAAGAGGGGCAGCAGUGGAGAGGAAGAGGAAUAGCUGAGACACAGGUAGAACCACAGAGUAACAGCUUGGCUCUUGACCCCCCAAAUGCUCCAAGGGCAUACAAGCAGCGAACCCUGUGCCUUGACCCUGAACUUCCUUUCUUGUCUGGGAAGGGAUGUAGCCAUAUGCAAACACAAUUGCUAUUUACAAUGGCCAAGGAAAGUCAAUUCCUUCUUUCCUUUUAAUAGAAUAUCUGAUAAGACACCAUUUUAGAAACUGUUUUUUUUUUUUUUUUUUUUUUUUUACAUUGUUUCACAAACAAAAACAUAGGAGCACCUUCAAACUGCUCAGAAAGCAAAUAUUUUAGUUCAACCACAGUGAUAUUGAAUUCUUGAUUCUGAUUGGCGGUCAGAAGGUGAUGAUUCAUUUUCUCUAACUGCGCUGACUGUAGCUCCUGCUGUAAUUAAUAUGAUAGGUUUAAAUUCUAUUCUAUUCUAAUACUACUCAAAUACUAAGAUCCACUAAUACUAGAUUUUAAUCAUUUCUAUCAUAACAGCUCGUUCACAAUUACUUUUAUAGCAGACAAUCUACAUAUUCAAAUGGUAAUACUAAAAGGAUUUAAAAAAACAUUCAUUACUUAACAUAGAAAAACGUAUAAUAAUCAACAUUUGGCAGACACCCUUAUCCAGAGCAACUUCCAUUUAUACAAUUGAGCAGUUGAGGGUUAAGGGCCUUACUCUAAGGCCCAGCAGUAGAAGUUGGUAGUGCUGGGAUUUGAACACAAAACCUUCCGAUCAGUAGGCUAAUGUCUUUGCCACUGCCCUGCUGUAGCUUUCUAUAAGGAAAGCUUGUAACAGUCAGUAAUAUUCAUUACAGAGGAUUUAGUGCUUGCGGUUUCUCUGUACCAUGACAAGCUGCAUAAGAGGCAGUUGAGGGAACCACUGUUUAUCGCUACUAUAGCAUAAAUGAUAACAUGAACUAACGUCUUGCAGAGGUUCCACAAUAUUAAAUGUAACUGGUUAAAGGUUAAAAAGCAUGACAUGUCAUUCAGUAUUAAAUUUUUUUAAAAAAAGACACUUGUUGGCAAAUACUGUGGUAUAAGAUAAUAAAACACUUCAGGAUGUGCUGUUAAAGGGAAAUAAUCUACAACUUCUGGCUGGUAACAGUAACUCUUUGCAUUGAGCUGUAUCACACAACCCCAUCUUGGAUUAUUUGACAAUAACAGCACACACCAUCAUAUCCUUUAUACAUUUGAAUGUAUGAGAUUUUUGGUACUGCAAGGUAUGACACUGUGAAAUCAUCAACAAAUAUUUGUCAUUGGCUUUAUUGUAUGUGGAAGUGGUUUACUCACAUUUCAUUAAAAAUUAGAAAUAUUAUAAUAAUUAUUAUCAUAAUUAUAUUAUAAGACUUAUAAUUAUAUAAUUCCAUUAAACAAUACAAUUGCAAUGGAUCUGCAUAAUGUUUCAAAGAAAGGGUAAGUGAAUUCAAAUACUUAAUUUGAUAAUUAUCAGAUUUCUGAAGAUUCUGUAGGACUGUUUUGAAUGACAGACAAACUGAUACGAACUUAUCUGAUUUGAUCUGAAACUGACUUAUGACAUUGAAAUGACAAAUCAGCUUCAGCUGUGUGAAUUUAAGCUCCCAUCCACUAGCCCCAUAUUUAGAUGUGAAAUGCUUACGAGAUGUCCCAAUUUACAUCAUAUACAACCAAUUUUUAUUAACCAUGCCCUAAUUUAGGCAUUUAAAGUGCAUUUAAGUGUUGCAGCAGUGGGUCAAUUAAAGAAAAUAUUCAGCAGACUACAGUCCAAAUGUAAAUAAGGAGAGGAGAAAAAAAAUCUCAGGUGUGUGUAGCCAAGGUGGAUGCAAAUAAACAUGCCGAUAGCUUCAAAAAUGCUAUAAAAGGUGAAAACUUGAAAUAAAAUAAAAUUAACUAUUAACACAUAUUCAGUGAUGGUCCAAUAGGUUUUGCUUUUGCAAUACUUACUUCAAAAUGAGGUAUUAAACUGAACCAUUUUCCAGCCUUCUGAUCAAGAAUAUUUAUAACUUGGUUUUAAUUCAUUUUAGAACUUGGGUAGAUCAGAUAGACGUGUCAAGAUUUAAUUAAAUAUAUUAAAUAUAGACAUGCCGAGUUUCCACACUGAACCAGCCAUAAAAAUAUCUGUGCACAUCCCUAGUCAAAAGCCCUCUUCAAUAGUACGUUAAUUACAAUAAGUCAAAAAUUACAAAAAAUUUAAAUGGCAUCUCCGAUCUUGGGUGAAUCAUUGUGCUUAGUCACAUUUAAGAAUAAUUAUAAUGUGUGCUAGAACUGCCAGAGCUGAUCUGAUGUUAUACAAUUGCUCUGGAUUCACACAAGGAAAACAAUAAAAGAUGAUUUAUGUCUAGCUUGGAUUGCCAAUAUCAACUUUGGUUAGCCUCUUUUUGAACAGGAAGUGACCAAGCCAGAGCAGCCAUUUAGCUGAAGCAUCACUUUCACUGCACGAUUGACAUCUGGGAAUGUUCCACUGUAUCCUAGCACCAGUCAGGACUUGCUGUACACCUGGUUUCUGGCACUAAUCUACUGAUGACAGAUGAUUGCAGUAAAACAGCCCCACGUACGCUCUCCCUGGUGCCUGGGAGAGAGAGUUGCUGCAGUCUCCUCUGCUAGGACAGCUCUUUUUCCUCUUUGGAUCAUAUGCCAAGCAUUGCCUGAUGAACCUUAAUCUGGAGCAGUGCCCAUGUGUUCAGACAAGUGGCAGGAUGAAGGAAGUAGGAAUGAUUACAGCAAGCAAAAGCUAGCAAAAAGUCCAAACAACCAAGCCUUAACUUCAGAGGAGCUGAUACCUGUGUCCUUGGUGGUCAGAGAACAUCUGCAUGCACAUGUCCUCACAUAAGCCAGGGGUCUGUGGUGCACAAAGAUACCUGAUCCAGAAAACAGGAGGAGCCCAGUCUUUGUGUGAACGCAAGAUGAAUCAUUUUCGGUGUGUGGAAUAGACUCCAUAGACUUGGGAUUGACUCUUAGUUUUCAAUGCCUGGAAUCAGUGAAUCAACUCUACUUGGGACCAAUUCCAAUGUGAACCAAAGGCAGAUGGAGACUUGAUAACUCUGCACAAACAUUGUAUUAAAAAUAACAUACAUUAUAUGGCCAAACGUUUGUGGACACCUGAUCAUCACACCGAUAUGUGGGCCUUCCCCAAGCUGUUGCCACAAAGUUGGAAGCAAACAAUUGUAUUGGAUGUCUUUGUAUGCUGUAACUAAGAUUUCCCUUCAAUGGAAGAAAGAGGUCCAAACCUGUUCCAGCAUGACAAUACCCCUGUGCACAAAUCGAGGCUCAUAAAGACAUGGUUUGCCAAGGUUGGAGUGGAAGAACUCGAGUAGCCUGCACAGAGCCCUGAUCUCAACCCCAGUGAACACCUUUGGGAUGAACUGGAGCACUGAUUGUGCCCAAGGCCUCCUCACCUGACAUUCUGAAAGUAUUGGAACAGCAAGGCCAAUUCUAUUGUUUUCGAUAUACAGUGAAGAAAUUUGGGGUUGAGAUCAAAAGAUGAAUAUGAGCAGAUAGAUCAGAAUUUCAGCUUUCAUUUCCUGAUAUUGACAUCUAGAUGUGUUAAACAACUUUUAUUCUUUGGUGGCAGUCAACUAAAUUUUUAGAUGAGCAAAAGAUUGGAUUGCAAUCCCAAUUAGAUUGGAUGAAUUUCUAUUUAAAUUGGAACACACUGUUUCUGUAGACACUGUUUCUGUAGAAUUCAUUCUGCUGCUACAAUCAUGAGUUACAUCAUCAUUAAAGAUUAGUGAGCCCAUUCCAGAAGCAGCCGUGCAAGCCCAAGCUAUGACACUACCUCCACCAUGCAUGACUGAUAAGUUUCUAUGUUUUGGAUGAGCAGAGUCACUCUUUCUCCACACUUUGGACUUUCCAUCACUUUGGUAUAGGUUAAUCUUGGUUUCGGAGCUUUUGUGGUUCAUUUUUUGGAAAGUCCAAUCCGGCUUUCUGAUUCUUACUGCUCAUGAGUGGUUUGUAUCUUGUGGUAUGGCCUCUAUAUUUCUGCACUUGUAGGUUGUUGGUGGUGUCACUCACUGUUUUUGGGGGUUUUUCUUUAUAGCUCUUACAAUGUUUCUGUCAUCAACCGCUGUUGUUGACUGACCUGUUCCAUAUUUGGUUGUUAGUACAACUAAAUUGUUGUUUAGGAUGUGCCAGUGCUUGUGCAAUGGUUCUGAUAGAUUUUCCCUCUUUUAUCAGCUUCAAAUGGCUUUCUUUUCUCCCAUAGACAGCUCUCUUCAUCUUCAUGUUGGUUUAUCCUUUUUAACAACAAAUGCAGUCUUCACAGAUGGCAUUCAGAGCUAUUAAUUAUUCAAACAAUCAAUUUACCAGGGUACACCUGGGCAGCAAGAAACACCUAUCAGUCACAUAUCCCAGUAUUUUUGAUCACUUAAAUAAUGGUUGGAUUCAAACAAAAGGUGCCAUGUUCUAAAUUGUUUAACACAUCUAGGUGUACAUAUGAGGAAAUGAAAGCUGAAAUUCUGAUCCAUCAUCUCAUAUUCAUCUUUGGAUCUCAGAUGUACAUGUAUUCAAUGUAUAGCGUAAACAGUAGAAUUGGCCUUGCUGUUCCAAUACUUUUGGAGGGACCUGUAGUGUAUCAAAAUAUGAUAAUGUCUGAUAGGGUAGGAAGGAUUGAUAAAUAUAGCAAUGAAUGUGCAAUACAGAUAGAAAACAGGACAAGGUAUGCCAACUGAAAAGAAUACAUGGCAAUUAACAAGUAUGGUUCAACCUGGUACAUUGCUCUUCUACUGUUUCUCACAUUCACACAAAUGACUGAAUAGAAAUAUUAUUCCCAUGACAACACAAGUUGUCAUUAGGCCAACAGCAUAGUGUAAUGUAAAGAAUUCCCAUACUGUAGACAAGGUUUUGCUGCCAUUUCCAUCAAAUGCAUUUUCUAUCUGAGUGAGGUGACAUCCAUACCACAUUUCAACUAAUUCAUAAUGAAAUUUAUUUCUAAUUGAUUUUAUUAUUGAAUUUUGCUGAUUAUCUACUGCAUAUUACACACAUUCACAUCAAUGUUUGAUUGCAUUUUAUGGUUCUGGAUGGUACAGUAGAUGUCUUAACUUCAAACCAUAACCAUAGAUAGAGACACGUGACCAAUGAAAUUUGUGGGAAGCCUAUGGUGACUGAAGUAUAAACAUUCCUGGUUAUUUACUGUCCCCAAAUUCAUGUGCAGGAGCAAUUACCCUGAUCCUCCUUGCUGCCAUGAAGUAACUUAGUUGACCAGAGCAUGUUAUAAAACACAAGUUCUUGCAGCUUUACAAGGCAGUAUAAGAAAGUAGGUGAAGAGGAGGAGAAUAUGGUGAUGCAUGCCAAUAGGCCAAGACUUAGGCACUGUUUACACUAGUGCGUUCUCGUUUUAAAACUCAAAACUUUUUCUACGGUUACGCCUGUCGUCUACACUACUCCGGCGUUUUCGACCCUCAAAAACGGAGACUUUUGGAAACACUGAAGACCCCGUUUUAGUUUGAAAACUCCAUGCUCGCAUUUCAGUGUAAACAGACCAAAACGCAGUCUUUUGAAAACGAAGACGUGGCUUCCCACAUUUGCCCCCUGAUUGGGUCUUCUGGGUCAUUACGUGUCCUUCCCUGAUUUGUCAAGCCCCUACCAUAUGACCAUUACGCUACCUUGAUCGUAUACACAACAAGACAGAGACUGAACCGCAAGCUUUGCUGGCUUCGUUGUCAUUCUUAACAGCCAUUGUGCUAUUAAAUUCUGUAUUUUAUAAUAGUGCAGCUGCCUACAUGCGCAAGAGGUGAGCUAUGAUUAGAGCAAUCGGCAACAAAUCUUAUUUCAAGUGGCGUAAGCCCUACAGGGAACACCGGUUUGUUGUGCCUGCUGGUGACUAGUAACCAACUUCCUGUUUACACCUGUAUGCUAAGUGUGCAUGAAUGGUCAUGUGACAUGUAUAUUCGGUCAUGUAGUGUGGACGAGGAUCGUUUUCGUUUUAAAACGUCAUUUUAAAACGAAAACGCACUAGUGUAAACAGGGCCUUAAAGCACUGGCCCACGUGCCCAUCACUUAUAUUAGUCAAAUAAUACAAAAGUUUCAAAAAAAUGAGAUGUAAUGGCGAAGAGAAUAGAGGGGGAUGCCCAGUUUGGCAAAACAAACAAACAAACAAAAAAUCACAAAGAUUAAAAUAAUUAUCUGUCAUAAAGCAAUAGACUGAGAGGCAGAAAUACACCCUGGAUGGGACACUAGUCCAACGCAGGGCAUCACAUACACACACACACACACACACACACACACAAAUAUACUAUUUGCUUAGACACGCAUUAAUAUAAAUGUACUUUCUCAUAUGUUAGAAAUGCUCUUUUGAAAAUAAUGAAAACGUAAAUCUUUUUUUUUUUUUCUUUUAUGGGGUAACACUGUGGUAUGCCCGUGUGAGGUAUGUAUCCACGCGCAGCUGAGUUGUGGUAUGGAAUAGUGUUGAGAGCAGCUGUGGAGGGGCCCAGCCUUGGGGAGAGCUGCAGUCAUUCCUCAGCUCCCUCCGAGACACAUUCAGCCAUCACACCCCAUGACAAAACAAACAAGAUCUGUGAUGACUGGAGCAUGGCCAACUUUCUGAGGCUAGAGGGAGAAAAAGAAUAAAUAAAUGGUCCUCCAUCAGAGGCAAGCAUCCUCCCCAGAAGCUGCUAGUGUUCUGAGAGCCAUGUACCCCUACCCCCAUCACCCCAACCCCUGUUUGCUCAAUACAGUACGCAAGCAAAUUAAAUUACUGUCUCAAAUGGAGAAAUGGUGAGUCCUUUGACCAAUCACACUAUAUGAAGAGAAAGGGGGUUCUGCUGAUGCAGAUAUAUUGCAUGGUAUAUUUGUUCUCUGACCAAAGACACAGUAUGUGCUCCUAUAUAAUGACUUUCAUAUUUAUCCCAUGGGUGUCAGCCAGUCACUACAGUCUGCCAUCCAAACUCGGGCCAGGCAGAGAAGAGACCUAUUAAAGACUUGUCAAGUGUGUCCUAUCUGUCUAUGAAUCUAUAGAGUGUAAGUGGGUGGUAUGAUAAGGGAAUGAUCUUACUCAUACUUGCAAAUGAUGGCUUUACAGCUGCAGAAGUUUACAUUUUGCAGCAGAAUUGCUGAAAGGCUAUAAAUAGAGCCAUUGACAAAGGCUAAGCAACUAAUAUUCUUCUUUCUGUGCUUUGUAAGACAGC
ensembl:lncRNA